UACGUAGGGUGCGAGCGUUAAUCGGAAUUACUAGGCGUAAAGCGUGCGCAGGCGGCUUUGCAAGACAGAUGUGAAAUCCCCGGGCUCAACCUGGGAACUGCAUUUGUGACUGCAAGGCUAGAGUACGGCAGAGGGGGAUGGAAUUCCGCGUGUAGCAGUGAAAUGCGUAGAUAUGCGGAGGAACACCAAUGGCGAAGGCAAUCCCCUGGGCCUGUACUGACGCUCAUGCACGAAAGCGUGGGGAGCAAACAGG
rnacentral:rRNA from 1 species